AUCAAAGUUUAUUCGAACAUCAACAAACAAAUUUCAGUGUCUCAUUUUUUUGUGUAACGUGGACACCAGAAGGACGGAGACUUAUGACUGGAGCCUCAAGUGGAGAGUUCUCUCUUUGGAACUAUUCUUUAAGCUCAUGGCUUUGCUGUGCAUGCGAUGGUAUGGUCUUACAUGGACACGUGGCUUGUGACAGUAGAUCACAGUGGAUUUGUGAAAUAC